rnacentral:rRNA from 1 species
GACGAACGCUGGCGGCGUGCUUAACACAUGCAAGUCGAACGGAAAGGCCCUGCUUUUGUGGGGUGCUCGAGUGGCGAACGGGUGAGUAACACGUGAGUAACCUGCCCUUGACUUUGGGAUAACUUCAGGAAACUGGGGCUAAUACCGGAUAGGAGCUCCUGCUACAUGGUGGGGGUUGGAAAGUUUCGGCGGUUGGGGAUGGACUCGCGGCUUAUCAGCUUGUUGGUGGGGUAGUGGCUUACCAAGGCUUUGACGGGUAGCCGGCCUGUGAGGGUGACCGGCCACAUUGGGACUGAGAUACGGCCCAGACUCCUACGGGAGGCAGUAGUGGGGAAUAUUGCACAAUGGGCGGAAGCCUGAUGCAGCAACGCCGCGUGCGGGAUGACGGCCUUCGGGUUGUAAACCGCUUUCGCCUGUGACGAAGCGUGAGUGACGGUAAUGGGUAAAGAAGCACCGGCUAACUACGUG